rnacentral:rRNA from 1 species
CUGGAGGUAUCAGAAGUGCGAAUGCUGACAUAAGUAACGAUAAAGCGGGUGAAAAGCCCGCUCGCCGGAAGACCAAGGGUUCCUGUCCAACGUUAAUCGGGGCAGGGUGAGUCGACCCCUAAGGCGAGGCCGAAAGGCGUAGUCGAUGGGAAACGGGUUAAUAUUCCCGUACUUGGUGUUACUGCGAAGGGGGGACGGAGAAGGCUAUGUUGGCCGGGCGACGGUUGUCCCGGUUUAAGCGUGUAGGUGUGUGUUCCAGGUAAAUCCGGUUCACUUUAACACUGAGGCGUGAUGACGAGGCACUACGGUGCUGAAGCAACAAAUGCCCUGCUUCCAGGAAAAGCCUCUAAGCAUCAGGUAACAUCAAAUCGUACCCCAAACCGACACAGGUGGUCAGGUAGAGAAUACCAAGGCGCUUGAGAGAACUCGGGUGAAGGAACUAGGCAAAAUGGUGCCGUAACUUCGGGAGAAGGCACGCUGACACGUAGGUGAAGUGAUUUACUCAUGGAGCUGAAGUCAGUCGAAGAUACCAGCUGGCUGCAACUGUUUAUUAAAAACACAGCACUGUGCAAACACGAAAGUGGACGUAUACGGUGUGACGCCUGCCCGGUGCCGGAAGGUUAAUUGAUGGGGUCAGCGCAAGCGAAGCUCCUGAUCGAAGCCCCGGUAAACGGCGGCCGUAACUAUAACGGUCCUAAGGUAGCGAAAUUCCUUGUCGGGUAAGUUCCGACCUGCACGAAUGGCGUAAUGAUGGCCAGGCUGUCUCCACCCGAGACUCAGUGAAAUUGAACUCGCUGUGAAGAUGCAGUGUACCCGCGGCAAGACGGAAAGACCCCGUGAACCUUUACUAUAGCUUGACACUGAACAUUGAGCCUUGAUGUGUAGGAUAGGUGGGAGGCUUUGAAGUGUGGACGCCAGUCUGCAUGGAGCCGGCCUUGAAAUACCACCCUUUAAUGUUUGAUGUUCUAACGUGGACCCGUGAUCCGGGUUGCGGACAGUGUCUGGUGGGUAGUUUGACUGGGGCGGUCUCCUCCUAAAGAGUAACGGAGGAGCACGAAGGUUGGCUAAUCCUGGUCGGACAUCAGGAGGUUAGUGCAAUGGCAUAAGCCAGCUUGACUGCGAGCGUGACGGCGCGAGCAGGUGCGAAAGCAGGUCAUAGUGAUCCGGUGGUUCUGAAUGGAAGGGCCAUCGCUCAACGGAUAAAAGGUACUCCGGGGAUAACAGGCUGAUACCGCCCAAGAGUUCAUAUCGACGGCGGUGUUUGGCACCUCGAUGUCGGCUCAUCACAUCCUGGGGCUGAAGUAGGUCCCAAGGGUAUGGCUGUUCGCCAUUUAAAGUGGUACGCGAGCUGGGUUUAGAACGUCGUGAGACAGUUCGGUCCCUAUCUGCCGUGGGCGCUGGAGAACUGAGGGGGGCUGCUCCUAGUACGAGAGGACCGGAGUGGACGCAUCACUGGUGUUCGGGUUGUCAUGCCAAUGGCACUGCCCGGUAGCUAAAUGCGGAAGAGAUAAGUGCUGAAA